rnacentral:rRNA from 1 species
UACGGAGGGUGCAAACGUUGCUCGGAAUCAUUGGGCGUAAAGCGCACGUAGGCGGCCUGUUAAGUCGGAUGUGAAAGCCCCGGGCUCAACCCGGGAAGUGCAUUCGAAACUGGCGGGCUUGAAUAUGGAAGAGGGUCGCGGAAUUCCCGGUGUAGAGGUGAAAUUCGUAGAUAUCGGGAGGAACACCAGUGGCGAAGGCGG